AGAAAGAGUUUUGAUUGUUUAGGUCCGUGUUAUUGUUUUAGCUUCGCAGUGGUUCUACAUGUAAGUUUAAGCGGGAAAUUGGGAGCCGAAUGGUUUUAUGAAAUUCUCAGUAGAAAGUAUUAGAGUAUGAAUGGAGUUUUAUCUAGGUAACUGGAAAAGAGUGGAAAAUAGCGUGCCAGCAGCCGCGGUUAUACGUAUGCUCUGAGUUAAAACUCGUAGACGAGAACAAACUGACUACACAGAGGAUAAGAUUUGUUUUGAUUAUUGGGUAAAAUUUUUAUUUAAAUGAUGAUUAUAAAAAAAUCAGUUUGAAAGAGUGUGCCUGUGGACCAGGAUUAGAUACCCUGUUACUCACACUUUGUUAUGCUUGGAAUAGUAGUAAUAAUGAAAUUUAUUGGAUUUGGCGGCAAAAUAGACCUUUUAGAGGAACCUGCCCUGUAAACGAUGAUCCACGAGAUACUUAACUUCUGUUAGUAAUCAGUUUGUAUACCGUUGUUGUCAGUAAGACUUUUUAAGGUACUUACAAUAAUGAGAAUUCCAUUGACUUCAAAUAAAGGUGCAGCUUAUGUAGAAGAGAGAGGUGGGUUACAUUUAAUAGAAUAAAACGGAUGGCGAAACGAAAUAUCGCUUGAAGGUGGAUUUAAAAGUAAAGUCUUGAGGACUUGAUGAGAGCACUGUUUUGUGUACACACCGCCCGUCGCUCUCUUUAUAAAAUGAGAUAAGUCGUAACAAGGUAAGUGUAAUGGAAAUUGUACUUGU
rnacentral:ncRNA from 1 species